rnacentral:lncRNA from 1 species
GCUGUACAAACAACAAGGAGAUUUCACCAAGGCCACCACAUACAUCGAGAACGCCAAGACGAACUACAAGGAUUAUUCCAUGGAGUCCAGACUGCACUUCAGGAUCCACGCAGCGCUCAACAGCCUCAAAGGAUCACCAGUCGGCACCCCGUGAACUCUGGCAAACGUUUCAUACGUCAACGUCGGCGGCGUCUCGCGCUCCUCCGAGUUUCAGUUCUUACGGGCACAGUGGGAUCACGAUACAGAAUUUUCUAAACAGGUUCGAAAAAAUCAUGUCAGCCUUCCGCAGUGGAAAACGAAAGUCACCAUCUGAAAGGUGCUCAACUCGAUAUACCUUUACCUUGCCUGCGAUUACAUCUGCACUUCAAUCCGUGGUACAUUAAGACUGAGGAUUUGGGAGAAAUUUCAGCUUAGAGUCCGUGCAGCUAACAGCGUCCUUCAGCAAACUACUACACUUAUGUAUCCUCCGUAAGGUGGCUAAAAAUAUUACCCAAUCUAAGCAUUAAUAAGGCCCCUGUCUGGAUUAGUGAAUAACAAAUUUUCUUUGAAGCUACAUCUGUUUGUUCCCCAUUGAGCCCCAAUCAGCGACACUGGAUUGCAGCAGUGAUGCAUCAUUUCCCCGGGUUUUGAAAAGUAAAUCAGGCAUCUGAGAUUUUGUGUGUGAAAUACAGAGGAAAUUAUGAAGUACCCUGAAACCCACAUGCGUCAUCCCCCAAAACUUCAUCAGAACUGCAAGGAUUGUCCGAAUCGCUCGUCCAAGAUUACCGAGGGAUGGCUGCGGUUUGAGGUGGACUUAAGACCUUCCCGUUAAGGAGUUGAAUCCUGCUCGGAGUCCAUGCUUUCUUCAUCAGGCUUUAAGAAUCAUCCUCAGCACUGUGCCACAUAGCUUUACCUAAACCCCACUUUAAGACAGACAACACAAAGCGCCUCCAUGCCCUCAGUGGCCAACAGGACAGGAAGUCUCAUAUCCAGGUUAAAUAUGCAAUAAGAAUUCAUGAAGGUCUCACUCCACCGCUGAAUCCAAGAUGACGUGUCUGUCCUGAAAUUACAGGAAUUAACAGAAUAGUACCUCUUUUUGCCGUUUUUCCAUCGGUACUUUUGGCGCCGAGUCAAGUUAUGCAGCGUUGAUUUGCAUUGUCGAGCGUGCCGAGCGGUGCUGAACCCGAGAUGGACGUCUCCACAGUCGUCCAAAGGAAGGAUGCCGUGACAUCAGAGGGCUUCGUCGUCAGUCACUGGUCAGAGACAAAGUGAACAGAGCUGCUUACAACCAGGAAGUCCCCAUAGCAACACUUGUGAAAGCUGUGUCGUAGCGGGUAAUUUAACCAUGAAGAUUAUUUUUCUCAGCAAAUC